UGAAGAUUAAAGGAAUCUUUAGAAUUUUCUAGAAUGUAUGCUAUGGCCUAGAAGGAAAACAAUAAUAUCAAGUUGAGAGCGAUCUUCCAAAUGAAGUUCCACCAGAGAUUUACUGCCUAGCAUUGUUCCAAACCACUGAUGCCACCUGAAUGCCUGUGCCUUGCCUACAAAUGUCAACCAAGUCUGUUGGCCAUCUGUGCCAGCAUGCCAUACAUACUGUGAAUCUAGGAAAACCACAUAUGGGCCAUUCCUCUUUCUUUUGCUGCAGUCAGAGGAAAAACUGGUGCCUGCUGUGAUGUUCCUAAAGCUGUUUCCAGCUAUCUAUAAGCUCCUUCAACUCUCACCCCUGCUUUACCUCCUGAGAGGAGUUUAUCUUGGACUUCUUACUUCCAUUUACUCUAAGCCAUAUAGACUUCAAGAGCUGUUGAGAAAAGACAUCAACAGAUGGUAAGUUUUCUGUGACUAUGGCCAUGGAAGGCUGUCAGGUAGGGCCUGUCACUUCCAACUGUUCUCACUGAGCCUUGGCCACUGGAGACUUCCCAGCAGGAAAUCUUUCUGAUCCCUCAUCUACAAAGAGC
ensembl:lncRNA